UACGAAGGGGGCUAGCGUUGCUCGGAAUUACUGGGCGUAAAGCGCACGUAGGCGGCUUAUUAAGUCAGGGGUGAAAUCCUGGAGCUCAACUCCAGAACUGCCUUUGAUACUGGUGAGCUUGAGUCUGGGAGAGGUGAGUGGAACUGCGAGUGUAGAGGUGAAAUUCGUAGAUAUUCGCAAGGACACCAGUGGCGAAGGCGGCUCACUGGCCCGGUACUGACGCUGAGGUGCGAAAGCGUGGGGAGCAAACAGG
rnacentral:rRNA from 1 species